rnacentral:rRNA from 1 species
AGUGAACGCUGGCGGUAGGCCUAACACAUGCAAGUCGAACGGCAGCACAGUAAGAGCUUGCUCUUACGGGUGGCGAGUGGCGGACGGGUGAGGAAUACAUCGGAAUCUACUUUUUCGUGGGGGAUAACGUAGGGAAACUUACGCUAAUACCGCAUACGACCUACGGGUGAAAGCAGGGGAUCUUCGGACCUUGCGCGAUUGAAUGAGCCGAUGUCGGAUUAGCUAGUUGGCGGGGUAAAGGCCCACCAAGGCGACGAUCCGUGGCUGGUCUGAGAGGAUGAUCAGCCACACUGGAACUGAGACACGGUCCAGACUCCUACGGGAGGCUGCAGUGGGGAAUAUUGGACAAUGGGCGCAAGCCUGAUCCAGCCAUACCGCGUGGGUGAAGAAGGCCUUCGGGUUGUAAAGCCCUUUUGUUGGGAAAGAAAAGCAGCAGGUUAAUACCCCGCUGUUCUGACGGUACCCAAAGAAUAAGCACCGGCUAACUUCGUG